UACGGAGGGGGCUAGCGUUGUUCGGAAUUACUGGGCGUAAAGCGCACGUAGGCGGCUUUGCAAGUCAGAGGUGAAAGCCCGGGGCUCAACCCCGGAAUUGCCUUUGAGACUGCAUCGCUAGAAUUGUGGAGAGGUAAGUGGAAUUCCGAGUGUAGAGGUGAAAUUCGUAGAUAUUCGGAAGAACACCAGUGGCGAAGGCGACUUACUGGUCACAUAUUGACGCUGAGGUGCGAAAGCGUGGGGAGCAAACAGG
rnacentral:rRNA from 1 species